AGCGAACGCUGGCGGCAGGCUUAACACAUGCAAGUCGAACGAGCCCUUCGGGGUUAGUGGCGGACGGGUGAGUAACACGUGGGAACGUGCCCUUAGGUUCGGAACAACACAGGGAAACUUGUGCUAAUACCGGAUAAGCCCUUACGGGGAAAGAUUUAUCGCCUUUGGAGCGGCCCGCGUCUGAUUAGCUUGUUGGUGAGGUAAAGGCUCACCAAGGCUACGAUCAGUAGCUGGUCUGAGAGGAUGGCCAGCCACAUUGGGACUGAGACACGGCCCAAACUCCUACGGGAGGCAGCAGUGGGGAAUCUUGCGCAAUGGGGGAAACCCUGACGCAGCCAUGCCGCGUGGAUGAUGAAGGUCUUAGGAUUGUAAAAUCCUUUCAGCGGGACGAUAAUGACGGUACCCGCAGAAGAAGCCCCGGCUAACUUCGUGCCAGCCG
rnacentral:rRNA from 1 species